rnacentral:lncRNA from 1 species
CAGGGGAGUGCGCAAGGAGCUGGGCAUCGACAACUCUCUCCUUCACCCUGUACUUCUGAACCUCAUCCCCUACCUUCCUCUGUGUUCCUCACCUAUGUUCUUCUUCCUUAUCACCUAUCUUCCUGUACUAAUCUGCAGCUUAGUUCUUUCUUGUCAGGUUGUACCAAAUAGACUUGCAAUAAAUAGCAAGCUCGUGAGUAGGGAUGAAAAUGGAACAGAAACGGACGGAAUUGGGUGCUCCCACAUUUGGUUUCAUUUUUUUUUUGUGAAAGUGGAAACAAAUACAUAAACUCAUAUUAUGACGGAGGCAG